AGUUAAUUAGUCUAAACAAGACUAAUGUUUUGAAAACAUUUUAUAGAUAUUUUGUCUAUUAACUU
rnacentral:tRNA from 1 species